rnacentral:misc_RNA from 1 species
UUUCCGUAGGUGAACCUGCGGAAGGAUCAUUAAUAAAUGGUCUACGUUUUUAAGUAGACGCUUAAUAAUCCUACCCUUUGUGAAUUUGUUUGUUUGAAAUAAUUUUUUUUAAAAUUAUUGAAUGUCUUUCCCUGUGAAUUGGUUGUCUUUAAUGGCAAGUGAUUCGCAGGGGAGUGUCAAUAAUUUUUAAAAGACCUUUUUAAAAUUAAACUUUUUGUAUUCAUUUGUCUAAAAAUUAUUUUUAUAAUAUAAAAACAACUUUUGACAAUGGAUCUCUUGGUUCUCGCAACGAUGAAGAACGCAGCAAAAUGCGAUAAGUAGUGUGAAUUGCAGAAUACGUGAAUCAUCGAAUCUUCGAACGCAUAUUGCACUUUUUUAGUUUACUAAAAAAGUAUGUCUGUUUGAGUAUCAGUAAAUAUUCUCAUAAAAACUUUUUUGUUUUUAUGGUUAUGAGUGUUUUACAACGAUACAAGUUGUUUCACUUUAAAUUUUUUUAAAAUUUGAAUUUUUCUAAUUUUAAAUUAAAAUUGGAUAAAAUUUUCCUGUAAAAAGGAAUAAUUAAACAAUUUUAAAUUGAAUUUAGAAAAUCCAAAUAAAAGGAAAAUUUAUUACAAAAUAACUUGAUCUCAAAUCAGAUAAGAGUACCCGCUGAACUUAAGCAUAUCAAUAAGCGGAGGAAAAGAAACUAACAAGGAUUCCCUUAGUAACGGCGAGUGAAGCGGGAAGAGCUCAAAUUUGAAAUCUUCAAGGUUUUACCUUGACGAAUUGUAGUUUAAAGAAGUGUUUUCUGUUAAGUUUCGGUAAAAGUUCUUUGGAAUAGGACAUCAUAGAGGUGAGAAUCCCGUAUUUGACCGUAUUUUCAGCUGUGUGAUACACUUUCAAGAGUCGGAUUGUUUGGGAAUGCAGUCCAAAAUGGUGGUAAAUUUCAUCUAAAGCUAAAUAUUGGCGAGAGACCGAUAGCGAACAAGUACCGUGAGGGAAAGAUGAAAAGAACUUUGAAAAGAGAGUUAAACAGUACGUGAAAUUGUCAAAGGGAAGCGUUUGACACCAGUGUUGUUUUCUCGAAAAUCAAUUAAAAAUGGCUUGAUUUUGUGUUGUAUUGACCUUAAAAGCUUUCUUCACUUUUUCAUGUCUUUUUUAAUGCACUUUUCGUUUAACAAGUCAACAUCAGUUUCUUUUGUUGUAAAAAGGUCAUUGGAAGGUGGCUUUCUUUUCGGAGAAAGUGUUUAUAGCCUUUGACUCCUGCAAUCGGAGAGACUGAGGUCUGCAGCGUAGAUCCUUUUUGGAUUAGAUUCAUUUGUGCUAAGUUAUAGCUUUUUAUAGACAACUGUUGACUAUAUUUAGUCUUGUAGCUUACUCGCUUAUGUAAUUU